UACGGAAGGUCCGGGCGUUAUCCGGAUUUAUUGGGUUUAAAGGGAGCGUAGGCUGUCUAUUAAGCGUGUUGUGAAAUUUACCGGCUCAACCGGUGGCUUGCAGCGCGAACUGGUCGACUUGAGUAUGCAGGAAGUAGGCGGAAUUCAUGGUGUAGCGGUGAAAUGCUUAGAUAUCAUGACGAACUCCGAUUGCGUAGGCAGCUUACUGUAGCAUAACUGACGCUGAUGCUCGAAAGUGCGGGUAUCAAAC
rnacentral:rRNA from 1 species